GGGGAAUUUUCCGCAAUGGGCGAAAGCCUGACGGAGCAAUACCGCGUGAGGGAGGAAGGCUCUUGGGUCGUAAACCUCUUUUCUCAGGGAAGAACACAAUGACGGUACCUGAGGAAUAAGCAUCGGCUAACUCCGUGCCAGCAGCCGCGGUAAUACGGAGGAUGCAAGCGUUAUCCGGAAUGAUUGGGCGUAAAGCGUCCGCAGGUGGCGAUGUAAGUCUGCUGUUAAAGAGUGAGGCUCAACCUCAUAAGAGCAGUGGAAACUACAUAGCUAGAGUACGUUCGGGGCAGAGGGAAUUCCUGGUGUAGCGGUGAAAUGCGUAGAGAUCAGGAAGAACACCAGUGGCGAAGGCGCUCUGCUAGGCCGUAACUGACANUGAGGGACGAAAGCUAGGGGAGCAAAUGGGAUUAGAUACCCCAGUAGUCCUAGCCGUAAACGAUGGAUAUUAGGCGUGGCUUGUAUCGACCCGAGCCGUGCCGUAGUUAACGCGUUAAGUAUCCCGCCUGGGGAGUACGCCGGCAACGGUGAAACUCAAAGGAAUUGACGGGGGCCCGCACAAGCGGUGGAGUAUGUGGUUUAAUUCGAUGCAACGCGAAGAACCUUACCAAGGCUUGACAUGUCGCGAAUCCUGGUGAAAGCCGGGAGUGCCUUCGGGAGCGCGAACACAGGUGGUGCAUGGCUGUCGUCAGCUCGUGUCGUGAGAUGUUGGGUUAAGUCCCGCAACGAGCGCAACCCUCGUUUUUAGUUGCCAGCAUUAAGUUGGGCACUCUAGAGAGACUGCCGGUGACAAACCGGAGGAAGGUGGGGAUGACGUCAAGUCAGCAUGCCCCUUACGCCUUGGGCUACACACGUACUACAAUGCUCCGGACAGAGGGCAGCAAGCAUGCGAAUGCAAGCAAAUCCCGUAAACCGGAGCUCAGUUCAGAUCGCAGGCUGCAACUCGCCUGCGUGAAGGUGGAAUCGCUAGUAAUUGCAGAUCAGCAUUGCUGNGGUGAAUUCGUUCCCGGGCCUUGUACACACCGCCCGUCACACCAUGGAAGCUGGUAGUGCCCGAAGUCAUUACUUCAACCUUUCGGGGAGGAGGAUGCCUAAGGCAGGACUGGUGACUGGGGU
rnacentral:rRNA from 2 species